UACCGUAAAAUAUAUGGCGUUUCAUCUCUGUCUUUCUGGGUUGUUUGGCUUUUGGGCGUGCGCUUCCCUCGCUCUCUCUCGCUCUCUUUCUCUCUCUCGUAUUCUCGUCCCACAAUUGGAAGAAGCUCGAACAAACCACCGAACUGCUUUUCUCGGACCGCCUUAGAUUGAAGUAAAGGUCAUGGCCGGAAAGAAAAUUAUAGCGAUAUGUCAGUCGGGUGGGGAGUUUGUGACGAAUAAAGACGGGUCGUUGUCUUACACUGGGGGUGAGGCAUUUGCGAUUGACAUUGAUCAGCAAACACAGUUAAAUGAUUUCAAGUCGGAAAUAGCAGAAAUGUUUGAUUUUAGCGUUGAUACGAUGAUUAUCAAGUAUUUCCUUCCUGGGAAUAAGAAGACUCUCAUCACAAUUUCCAAAGACAAGGACUUGCAACGCAUGGUGAAUUUCCUCGGUGAUUCUGUCACGGUUGAUGUGUUUAUCAUGUCAGAGGAAGCUGCUGCUCGAAAUGUAUCCAACAUGCCUGGUAGUAGGUCAAGCAGGACAACUGUGUCAGAAGCAGUGAUUCCGGUAGUUACCCCCAUUGAUAUUCAAGUUGAUACAGCUAAUGCCAAUAAUCAUAUAGAUAUGGAGAUACCCAAUGAAACAGCUUUAGUUUAUCCUGCUGGUUCUAAUGAUGACAGGCAUCGGAAAGCUGCACAACAGUGGGAAAACACCAUCACUGGUGUGGAUCAAAGGUUUAACAGUUUUAGUGAAUUCCGAGAAGCAUUGCACAAAUACUCCAUUGCACAUGGAUUUGCUUAUAGAUAUAAGAAAAAUGACAGUCAUCGUGUCACUGUCAAAUGCAAAUCCCAAGGUUGUCCUUGGCGGAUAUAUGCUUCAAGGUUGUCUACCACCCAGUUGAUUUGUAUCAAGAAAAUGAACACACAACAUACUUGUGAAGGAGCCGCAGUGAAAGCUGGGUAUCGAGCGACUAGGGGUUGGGUGGGAAGUAUCAUAAAGGAGAAGUUGAAAGUUUCCCCAAACUACAAGCCAAAGGAUAUUGCAGAUGAUAUCAAACGGGAGUAUGGGAUUCAAUUGAAUUAUUCUCAGGCAUGGCGUGCAAAAGAGAUUGCAAGGGAGCAGCUUCAGGGCUCCUAUAAAGAGGCAUAUAAUCUGUUACCUUUUUUCUGUGAGAGGAUAAAGGAAACAAAUCCAGGGAGUGUCGCCACAUUUACCACCAAGGAUGAUUCGAGCUUCCAUCGUCUCUUUGUAUCAUUUCAUGCCUCGAUAUCUGGUUUUCAGCAAGGAUGUCGCCCUCUCCUUUUCCUUGAUAGCACUCCUUUAAACUCAAAAUACCAGGGGGUAUUAUUAGCUGCAAUAGCUGUAGAUGGUGAUGAUGCUAUCUUUCCAGUAGCCUUUGCUGUUGUAGAUGCUGAGACUGAGGAUAACUGGCAUUGGUUUUUAAUGGAACUUAAAUCUGCAUUGUCAACAUCUCAGCAGAUUACAUUCGUUGCAGAUUGUCAGAAUGGUUUAAAGAAGUCAUUGGCUGAGAUAUUUGAUAAAUGCUACCACAGCUAUUGUUUACGCCAUCUUGCUGAGAAACUUAAUAAGGAUUUGAAGGGGCAAUUUUCUCAUGAGGCAAGACGAUUUAUGAUUAAUGAUUUUUAUGCAGCUGCUUAUGCACCCAAACUCGAGGGUUUCAACCGUUGUGCUGAGAACAUCAAAGGUAUUUCUCCUGAAGCUUACAAUUGGGUUAUACAAAGUGACCCACAGCAUUGGGCAAAUGCUUUCUUUGGAGGAGCAAGGUAUAACCUCAUGACAUCAAACUUUGGACAACAAUUCUACAGUUGGGUCUCAGAGGCACAUGAGUUGCCAAUAACACAGAUGAUUGAUGUAUUACGAGGUAAGAUGAUGGAAUCUAUAUAUGCACGUAGGGUGGAUUCCAGUCAAUGGGAGACAAAGAUAACGCCAUCUAAGGAAGAAAGGCUACAAAAAGAAACUUCAAUAGCUCGAUCACUUCAAGUGUUGCUCUCACAUGGUAGUAUAUUUGAGGUGCGUGGAGAAUCAGUCGAUAUUGUUGAUAUUGAUAAUUGGGAUUGUAGCUGCAAGGAAUGGCAACUUACAGGUUUGCCUUGCUGCCAUGCUAUUGCUGUAUUUGAAUGCAUUGAUAGGAGCCCAUAUGAUUAUUGCUCCAGAUACUUCACAGCCGAGAGUUACCGUCUAACGUAUGCAGAGUCCAUUCACCCUGUUCCAAAUGUAGACAGACCAGUCCAGGGUGAAUCAGCUGAGGUAGUAGUUACUGUAACCCCUCCACCUACAAAACGACCACCAGGCCGACCUAAGAUGAAGCAAGCUGAAUCCAUAGACAUAAUUAAACGCCAACUCCAGUGUAGCAAGUGCAAGGGCCUUGGCCACAAUAAGAAGACAUGCAAAGAUUCCUAGUACACAACAUGUUAGGACAUUGUUAAGUAGGCAGAUUCAGCGUCAAAGCACUGCAGCAUUUUGUUCUAGACCAUUUUUAAGAGACAUGGCGAAGACAGGAUGCUUGUGGAGCUGUGUGAGCAGAACUUUUUGUUACUUAUGGCCAGAAAUUAACGAGAUGGCUCUUCUUUGUCAAAACCUGCAAAGAUGGCCGUGCUAACUGUCAAUAUUUUUCAACAGUUGUUAUAACCUUCUCAAUAUAUUUUAACAGUUUAUAUUCACAUGCAGAAACUUCUUGUAACUUUAUUUUUGACCAAAAGUUGUAACAUAAAAUAUGCAAUUUGGU